CCUACGGGAGGCAGCAGUGGGGAAUAUUGCACAAUGGGGGAAACCCUGAUGCAGCGACGCCGCGUGAGUGAAGAAGUAAUUCGUUAUGUAAAGCUCUAUCAGCAGGGAAGAAAAUGACGGUACCUGACUAAGAAGCCCCGGCUAACUACGUGCCAGCAGCCGCGGUAAUACGUAGGGGGCAAGCGUUAUCCGGAUUUACUGGGUGUAAAGGGAGCGUAGACGGCAGUGCAAGUCUGGCGUGAAAGGCGGGGGCUCAACCCCCGGACUGCUCUGGAAACUGUACGGCUGGAGUGCAGGAGAGGCAAGUGGAAUUCCUAGUGUAGCGGUGAAAUGCGUAGAUAGUAGGAGGAACACCAGUGGCGAAGGCGGCUUACUGGACUGUAACUGACGUUGAGGCUCGAAAGCGUGGGGAGCAAACAGGAUUAGAUACCCGGGUAGUC
rnacentral:rRNA from 1 species